AAAGAAAAGAAGAGAAGAAGGAGAAGAAAGAAGAAGAAGAAGAAGGAGAAGGAGAAGGAGACGAGGGAAGAGGGAGAAGAGAGAGAAGAGGGAGGAAAAGAAGAAGAAGAAGAAGAAGAAGAAGAGGAAGAAGGGGAGGAAGGAGAAAGGAGGAAGGAGGAGGAGGAGAAGAAGAAGAGGAGGAGGAAGAAGAAAAUUGAGAUCAUUUGUACAAAUCUUGAAACCAAAGCACAGCCUGUAUGAACCCAUGUUGAACCCUGGACUUUCAGGACUACUGUAUGGCUAACCACAGCCCUGCAAGGCCAGGCUCAGCAUGUCACAGUUUUGCCACUGAACAAGAAUCUUUCGAAGGAUCGCAAAUACUACAUGGAAAAUGACUGUAUUCUUUCUGCAAGGCCACUCUCUUAGACAUCACCCUAACAAAAACAAUUACGGGUUGGAAGAGGAGAAAGGAUGCAAAGUUUGUGCCUUGACCUAAAAAAGGUCAUGAGCACCUCUACCGGUUCUUGGAAACAUUAGUUGCAGUGGAUCUCAAAUUCUAUUGCGCAAAAGAACGACCUGGUGACCCUCUAAAAGUGUAGAUUCUCUGGUUUCACCCCUAGACCUUGUGACUCACAUGUCCAGUGAGGCCAGGAACUCCUCACUGUUAACCUGUGCCCUAUUUUAACAAGCCCUGCUGGGAGUCGGGAUGUUGGGGGUCCC
rnacentral:lncRNA from 10 species